GCCCUACUUUAUAGCCUUCCUGGGACUUCAGGAUUUUGCGUUUCUAUUUUUACAAGAAUGGGCUGAUUUGUCUUAGGCUAUUACUGUCUAUUACUGCUGGAAGUCCCGGGGAAAGGUGGGAAGCAGAGAAUUCUGGCAAUCUGCCUAAAGAGAAAUCAAUGAAACAAAUUAAUCCUUCGCAGGCUGCAAUGACACAGUAAUCCAUCAUUCAGAGCUGCUUUUAUACACCAAAUCAGAGAGCAGAGGAAAGAGCCCUGGGGGACAUCACAGACAACAACUUACAGCAACACUGGGAAAAUACUAAGGAAUCAGUUUAUUUAAAGAGGAUAGAUUUCAGUUGAUUGCCUAUUUCGUUUUAUAGAGAUUUUUCUUCCAUAGUGCUGCGAAGCUCUGGGCGGAUGGCUCUAUCUGCUGCGCGCUGCCUCCCAAGGUCCCCUCCGUGGGCUUUCAGUAGGACUGGAGGAAAAAAAAAAAAUCAGAGGGGGUGGGGAAAGAUAGAGUCCUUUUGCCCGUGACGGACAGGUCCCGAGUUUGGCAGCGGCGAACGAGGAGGCUGCUCGGGGCGCCGCGGCUGAGCAGGGCCGAGCCCUGAGGGCAGCGACCGCCGGGGGCCGGGGGCCGUACCCGACCGCCCCGUUGCAGCGACGCGGGACGGGGAGGGGCGGGGUCGGCGGGCCCGGGCGGGGACCUCCGGAGGGAAGCGGGGCUCGACACCUGACCCCCAGAGUGCUCGGGGUCCCUGCGUGCGGGGUCUCUCCCAGACCCGAAAUGGGAGGAGGCUGGGGCAGCGCGGGGGCACGGCUGGGUGUUGGUCCGCGGUUUUGCAGCGCUCUGGAAAUCAGCGCAGAACGCGUGGAACAGCCCCAGGAUGAAGCGGGGGGUGGCUGGGGCGGGGAAGGGCUGCCGUGCCGCUGGAACACGAACCCCGGGAUGCCGCUGGGAGAGGGUUACUUUCGCCCACCCUCCCCGCCAAGAGGGCACAGGGGUGAUUUUGGUAGCCCUCUUGUAUGUUGGUUUCGCCACCCCGGACGCUCGGCAGGAAUGUGCUAUCCCGGCUUUAAUCUGCUCCGAGGAGAUGGAUAAUGCAAGGACCUGGUGGUGCUGCGGGGUCAGGAGAAGUAUGCUAAUUGGGGAGCCUAAUUGCUUCAAGCAGUCAUGCCUCUAAACACGAAGAGCGCCACUGAUGGAGUCAGUCUGUUACUAAUAAAACGAAGAAGCACUGAAUUAAAUUCCCAAGAAAGGGACUAUAAAAGUUUCCACAGUGUAACUAAAUGACUUCACCUAUACUAUUACCCCUCAGAUGACAUCUUGAAGGAAGACAGACUGAGUGCAGCCUCCAUACUCAUAAAUUGGCCGCGCUUAGGCCACUAAAUCUGGAUUGAUUUAAAAAGGCUUCUUCAUCCUCCCAGUCAAAUGAAGUCACUGCUAAUUAGUUGUUUUCUGUUAACAGCGUCUCUGUUCCCAGAGUUACCUGCUCACACUUUCCAUGAACUUUGUGCAACAUCUGGACCAGCAGAGCUUGGGGGUGACAGCUUUUGAUGUUGGGUUUUUUGUUUGUUUGCUUGCUUGCUUUUUGGGGGAGGGUUCUGCGGUGUGAGGAUGAAAGGUGAUUUCCGUCCCACGAUUCUGCUCUUUGGGAUGAACACCAUCCAUCCACUCCUGGCAAUAUAAGUGUCACCUCUGGCUGUUCUAGAGGCCAUAAACGUCACUGGAGGGGCCGUGUGAAGGGGGAACCUCCCCAGGGUGGGUUUUGAGCAGUGAACAACUUGCAGUGGGUCAAGGGUCCCAUUUUCAGCCUGGGGACACCUGCAAGGAGAGGCAAAGCCCUGUGAACAAGAAACCCAAACAUCCACCUGGAGCUGGAGAUGCCUCCGAACAAAGCAGCGCCUGCAGCCCCACAUUCUCGGGCUCUCCCAGCCCAUAGUGAGAGACGACGGAAGGAUGAGCUUCGCUCGGUUUAAUGGCUUUGUAAAAUGCCUGCUUUCUUCCAAGGAACUGCAGCAGUGCGACUUUUCCCUUUUUCCCCGCCAGCAGCAGAGCGUGGCUCGGGGCGCUGCACAGCGGGGCACACGUGUGGGAGCGGAUGCGGAUGGGUACAACCGGGCUGUCCGCACGCCGGGAGCGGCGGGAUGCAGGGAGCGCGGGGAUGCGUGGCAAUAGCUGCAUCCCUCCCGGGCUGGAUGGAGAAAGCAGGGCGUCCUGCCUAAUUGGAUGGAGCAGGUGUUUUGCCAAGCGCUCUGCACCUAUAGUGCUGACCUCUUCAGCAUUCCCUGCAAUCUUUUCUGCCGUAUUAGCCCGUCUACAUCCCACUUAGAAAGAUUCGGUCGUGUGCUUCAUAUGUCUUUCUCCCUGAAUUGGCUCCAAAUAAACGGAUCAGGAUUGUAAAACUAUCCCCCCAAGACAUACGACUAGGAAUUGUCAAGGAGACUUUGGUCCACUAUCCAUGUCUAUUAUGCCAGUCACUCAUAAUGAUCCCUUGUGGUGUGUCAUACGUCAUCAUGACACUGAUCCAUGACACAGUUUAAUGCUAUUUGGGGAUGCUCCGGCAUCGCGCAGCCUCCAUCCUGUACCUUUGUAACUCGCUGCAGCUGAUUCCCCUUGGCUUCUACAGAAGCACUGCGCCGUCUAAACCCAAAGCCACCAUCUCGGGCUCUUCCCAGCCGCACGCGCUGCUCGGAGUUUCAUCUAUUUCUCUGGCUGGGGGGGGGAGCUAUGUUGUCUUUCCUCCUUCGUUUCCGCGCCGCAUCCCACAGCCCAGCAGCUGCCCUCACCCUCCCACUCUCGCUGCUCUGCUCGCGCGGUCCCCUCCGCCCGCGGUAGGUUACACCGCGCGUGAGGCGUUCGGUGCUCCUCAAAUCACCCUGGGAAAGAAGAUCACGUUUCCACAACCGAGCUAUCUAUACCGCGCGUGGGCGACAGGCAGUGUCUCCGCGCUGCGUACACACAAACUCUCGUGUGCGGCGGGUAUACGCAGCGGGCUGGGGUGGCCUCACCCCACGCAGUUCCACGUGCCAAGCACCACGCGUGUCUGUGUCUGCCUGUGCCUGUGCAGUCACACCCAGCCCGCGGCCAUCGCGUUGUCCCCGCAGCUCCACAGCGGAGAUGUUAGCAGCUCCCAGUAGGAGCGAGCCGGAGAGGUCGGACGGGAGCUGACGGGACUCCCCCGGGGUAACGCUGCCCCUACGGCAGCUGGGGGCCGGGAUGCUCCGGUCCCUCAUAAGAGGAUGCCCCGGGCGGGAUCCCGCCUACCCUUGGCCCGGCGAUGCGCGGCGGCGCGACCCUUCCUGCCCGGCCCUGCCUGGCCCGGUUCUGUUCGGGUCGGUUCUACUCGGCUAGGCUCGGUUCGAUUCGGGAUGCUGCUGCGGGUACCGUGCAGCCGCCCCCGGUGCAGCUGCUUCGCUCCGGCUGCGGGAGGGCUGCAGGAGGGAGGCAGACAAUAGCGGCAGCUGAAACACCUGCGAUUUAUCACGGCAAUAAAAUAUGUACAGUAAUGUGGAGUAAUUGCUCUUUCCGCUUCCAGAGGGAGCUCAAAGCUGGAAAAUCAAGGUUGGAGUCUUCCAAACUGUAAACAGUUUCCACAGGGCACAUCCGAAGCAUACGCAGAUAGACAGGGAGACAGACAGGGAGAGUUCCCGGCUCGUCUCAGCAGGGACUUUAAGAUGCGUUUAACACUGUGCGAAGAGGGAUAAAGAGUCUGUCAGCGCGUAUUAAUCUGUUUAGCUGCAGCGCGGAGCUGCGAAACUUCUACCUGUGCGCAGCCGUGAGAAAGCCGAGCGGGUGGUGAGAGGUGAGCGGGGCCCGCGCUGAGUCACGGCCGCGUCGCUGCCGCUGCGGGAGCUCCCCGCAAUGCGGAGGGCCGGCGCCGGCGGGACCCACGCG
ensembl:lncRNA